rnacentral:rRNA from 1 species
AAGAGACAGCAGCAGCCGCGGUAAUACAGAGGGUGCGAGCGUUAAUCGGAUUUACUGGGCGUAAAGCGUGCGUAGGCGGCUUCUUAAGUCGGAUGUGAAAUCCCUGAGCUUAACUUAGGAAUUGCAUUCGAUACUGGGAAGCUAGAGUAUGGGAGAGGAUGGUAGAAUUCCAGGUGUAGCGGUGAAAUGCGUAGAGAUCUGGAGGAAUACCGAUGGCGAAGGCAGCCAUCUGGCCUAAUACUGACGCUGAGGUACGAAAGCAUGGGGAGCAAACAGGAUUAGAUACCCCAGUAGUCCCUGUCUCUUAUAC